GAUGAACGCUAGCUACAGGCUUAACACAUGCAAGUCGAGGGGAAACGACAGGGAGUGCUUGCACACUCUGGGCGUCGACCGGCGCACGGGUGAGUAACGCGUAUCCAACCUGCCCACCACUUGGGAAUAACCUUGCGAAAGUAAGACUAAUGCCCAAUGACGUUGAAAGAAGACAUCUGAUUUCAACUAAAGAUUUAUCGGUGAUGGAUGGGGAUGCGUCCGAUUAGCUUGUUGGCGGGGUAACGGCCCACCAAGGCAACGAUCGGUAGGGGUUCUGAGAGGAAGGUCCCCCCACAUUGGAACUGAGACACGGUCCAAACUCCUACGGGAGGCAGCAGUGAGGAAUAUUGGGUCAAUGGGCGAGAGCCUGAACCCAGCCAAGUAGCGUGCAGGAUGACGGCCCCUAUGGGUUGUAAACUGCUUUUAUAAGGGUAAUAAAGUAGGGGCUCGUGAGCUCUUUUGCAUGUACCUUAUG
rnacentral:rRNA from 1 species